UUAAAUUGAAGAGUUUGAUCAUGGCUCAGAUUGAACGCUGGCGGCAGGCCUAACACAUGCAAGUCGAACGGUAGCACAGAGGAGCUUGCUCCUUGGGUGACGAGUGG
rnacentral:rRNA from 1 species